rnacentral:rRNA from 1 species
GAUUAUGGCUCAGGAUGAACGCUGGCGGCGUGCAUAACACAUUCAAGUCGAACGGCGAUCCCGGAACCUUCGGGGGAAGGGUGAGCAGUGGCGGACGGGUGAGUAACGCGUGAGCAACCUGCCCUGCAUUGCGGGAUAACACAGGGAAACUUGUGCUAAUACCGCAUGACAUAUACUUUUCGCGUGUGAGGUAUAUCAAAGGUUUACCGAUGCAGGAUGGGCUCGCGUAUGAUUAGGUAGUUGGCGGGGCAAGGGCCCACCAAGCCUGCGAUCAUUAGCCGAACUGAGAGGUUGAACGGCCACAUUGGAACUGAGAAACGGUCCAGACUCCUACGGGAGGCAGCAGUGGGGAAUAUUGGGCAAUGGGCGAAAGCCUGACCCAAGCGACGCCGCGUGAGGGAAGACGGUCUUCGGAUUGUAAACCUCUUUCAGCAGGGAAGAAGCAAGUGACGGUACCUGCAGAAGAAGUCACGGCUAACUACGUGCCAGCCGCGGC